CACCUGUGAUCAUUAAGCAUGAUUCUAGUUGAGCUCUUACUGGAGAAACACCGUUACAUCACAUCGUGAACAUUUCCACGCUCUUUCUCGUUGCAGCUCUAGUCAAGAGUGACCUGCCGCACUGCACUGACCCAGUGAAGUGGUCGAGGAAGUAUGGUCUGUCCCUGGACUCAUCUGAGAUGGAAGAUCUGAGCGGUGUCUUUAGGAUGAUGGACAGCAAUGGCAACUGCUUUCUGGACUUCGAUGAGCUCUGGAAGGGUUUUAGCGACUCGGGCGUCUCAAUGGACCAGCAGGACACUGUCACUGUGUUUAAAUACUUUGGCCGCGAUGGAAGCCGAGGCGUUGACAUUGGUGAAUACCUCGUCGCUGUCGGGGUACAUAUUUGAAUGAUAAGUCACUGCACACAAGUCGCAUGUGCCAAUUACAUCAUGUACUUCAAGUGUACUUCAACCUAAUGAUGAGUUGUGAUGUGAUCACUGCUUCAAUAAAGAGUUCAAACAGAUUUUUGAUAUUAACAACUUUUAA